AACGCACAUUGCGCCCUCUGGUAUUCCGGGGGGCAUGCCUGUUCGAGCGUCAUUAUAACCACUCAAGCUCUCGCUUGGUAUUGGGGUUCGCGGUUCCGCGGCCCCUAAAAUCAGUGGCGGUGCCUAUCGGCUCUACGCGUAGUAAUACUUCUCGCGAUUGAGUCCGGUAGGGUCACUUGCCAGCAACCCCUAAUUUUUACAGGUUGACCUCGGAUCAGGUAGGGAUACCCGCUGAACUUAA
rnacentral:misc_RNA from 1 species